GUAGCAAAAGGACAAACACUAAGGGACAAAAACAUCAGUGUCCAGGUUUCACUUCCACAUUUCACUUGCUCAGUGAUUCUCUGGGAAACCCCAUGUACUCCUCUAGUAAUCAGCCAGCCAAACCAUCAUGAAAACAUUUAUCGGAAGACAGCAUUUGUAAGCAUACUGUAAGUCAUGAAGUGUGAGAAAAAUUUUGGACAAGCACAAAUGGAGAGCUGGACCUCAGAUGAGACUUUUGUUGGAGAUAAACAACAUGGCAGCCAGUAACAUAAGGAAGCCCUUCAGUCCAGAAGAGAGGGAGACAAGAAUGCCCCAGGAUUGGUCCCUUGGAAAAAUGACUGAUACGGAGCUGAAUGAAAGAGAAGAUCAUACAUAUUCUACAUCACCAUCUCGAAGACGAAUAGGAAGUUUGGAUAUUGCCUACAUUCCCUCCAUGAGUGGAAAGAAAAUUCCCAAAAUGGAUUUCAAGCAGAGGCACAUCACUUCUGAAAAUG